rnacentral:rRNA from 1 species
AGUGAACGCUGGCGGCGUGCCUAAUACAUGCAAGUCGAACGAUGAAGCUUCUAGCUUGCUAGAAGUGGAUUAGUGGCGCACGGGUGAGUAAUGCAUAGGUUAUGUGCCCUUUAGUCUGGGAUAGCCACUGGAAACGGUGAUUAAUACUGGAUACUCCCUACGGGGGAAAGUAGCACUCAAGAAUACUCUUGUGGUGUUUUCAGCAAUGCAGAGCGUGAGGAAGGGUUGCUUUAAGAUUCUAUAAGUUUAUGUGCGAUAAAUGCCUUAGAAUCUUAGAGUGAUCCUUGCUUAUGCUCCUGUAGAUGAUGAGAAUAGCACAAGGGUAUUCUUGAGUGCUCUCGCUAAAGGAUCAGCCUAUGUCCUAUCAGCUUGUUGGUGAGGUAAUGGCUCACCAAGGCUAUGACGGGUAUCCGGCCUGAGAGGGUGAUCGGACACACUGGAACUGAGACACGGUCCAGACUCCUACGGGAGGCAGCAGUAGGGAAUAUUGCUCAAUGGGGGAAACCCUGAAGCAGCAACGCCGCGUGGAGGAUGAAGGUUUUAGGAUUGUAAACUCCUUUUGUUAGAGAAGAUUAUGACGGUAUCUAACGAAUAAGCACCGGCUAACUCCGUGCCAGCAGCCGCGGUAAUACGGAGGGUGCAAGCGUUACUCGGAAUCACUGGGCGUAAAGAGCGCGUAGGCGGGAAAGUAAGUCAGAUGUGAAAUCCUGUAGCUUAACUACAGAACUGCAUUUGAAACUACUUUUCUAGAGUAUGGGAGAGGUAGGUGGAAUUCUUGGUGUAGGGGUAAAAUCCGUAGAGAUCAAGAGGAAUACUCAUUGCGAAGGCGACCUGCUGGAACAUUACUGACGCUGAUGCGCGAAAGCGUGGGGAGCAAACAGGAUUAGAUACCCUGGUAGUCCACGCCCUAAACGAUGAAUGCUAGUUGUUGGGGUGCUUGUCACUCCAGUAAUGCAGCUAACGCAUUAAGCAUUCCGCCUGGGGAGUACGGUCGCAAGAUUAAAACUCAAAGGAAUAGACGGGGACCCGCACAAGCGGUGGAGCAUGUGGUUUAAUUCGAAGAUACGCGAAGAACCUUACCUAGGCUUGACAUUGAUAGAAUCUGCUAGAGAUAGCGGAGUGUCUAGCUUGCUAGACCUUGAAAACAGGUGCUGCACGGCUGUCGUCAGCUCGUGUCGUGAGAUGUUGGGUUAAGUCCCGCAACGAGCGCAACCCUCGUCCUUAGUUGCUAGCAGUUUAAGCUGAGCACUCUAAGGAGACUGCCUUCGUAAGGAGGAGGAAGGUGAGGACGACGUCAAGUCAUCAUGGCCCUUACGCCUAGGGCUACACACGUGCUACAAUGGGGCAUACAAUGAGAAGCAAUACCGCGAGGUGGAGCCAAUCUCUAAAAUGUCUCUCAGUUCGGAUUGUAGUCUGCAACUCGACUACAUGAAGCUGGAAUCGCUAGUAAUCGCAAAUCAGCAAUGUUGCGGUGAAUACGUUCCCGGGUCUUGUACUCACCGCCCGUCACACCAUGGGAGUUGUAUUCGCCUUAAGUCGGGAUACUAAAUUGGUUACCGCCCACGGCGGAUGCAGCGACUGGGGUGAAGUCGUAACAAGGUAACCGUAGGUGAACCUGC